rnacentral:rRNA from 1 species
AUUAGUAGGGAAUCUUCGGCAAUGGACGAAAGUCUGACCGAGCAACGCCGCGUGAAUGAAGAAGGCCUUCGGGUUGUAAAAUUCUGUUAUAAGGGAAGAAAGACGUGAGUAGGAAAUGGCUCACGAGUGACGGUACCUUAUGAGAAAGCCACGGCUAACUACGUGCCAGCAGCCGCGGUAAUACGUAGGUGGCAAGCGUUAUCCGGAAUUAUUGGGCGUAAAGAGCGCGCAGGUGGUUAAUUAAGUCUGAUGUGAAAGCCCACGGCUUAACCGUGGAGGGUCAUUGGAAACUGGUCAACUUGAGUGCAGAAGAGGGAAGUGGAAUUCCAUGUGUAGCGGUGAAAUGCGCAGAGAUAUGGAGGAACACCAGUGGCGAAGGCGGCUCUCUGGUCUGCAACUGACGCUGAGGUGCGAAAGCGUGGGGAUCAAACAGGAUUAGAUACCCUGGUAGUCCACGCCGUAAACGAUGAGUGCUAAAUGUUAGGGGGUUUCCGCCCCUUAGUGCUGCAGCUAACGCAUUAAGCACUCCGCCUGGGGAGUACGGCCGCAAGGCUGAAACUCAAAGGAAUUGACGGAUC